rnacentral:rRNA from 1 species
AGGGUUUGAUUCUGGCUCAGAACGAACGCUGGCGGCAGGCUUAACACAUGCAAGUCGAACGCCCCGCAAGGGGAGUGGCAGACGGGUGAGUAACGCGUGGGAACAUACCCUUUCCUGCGGAAUAGCUCUGGGAAACUGGAAUUAAUACCGCAUACGCCCUACGGGGGAAAGAUUUAUCGGGGAAGGAUUGGCCCGCGUUGGAUUAGCUAGUUGGUGGGGUAAAGGCCUACCAAGGCGACGAUCCAUAGCUGGUCUGAGAGGAUGAUCAGCCACAUUGGGACUGAGACACGGCCCAA